AUGUUGAAAGAAGAGGCUAUGAUGAGAGAUCUUCGUCGACGACGGAGAAAUUUGUGUCGAGAUUCGAUGGAUUGCAGUUCAUAGAAACGCUGAUAACUGCUCAUAGAUGAAAGUGGGGUUCAUAAUUUUUCUUCUUCCUCAUAUGUUUCUUCGUCUUGUUGAACUUCUUCUGUGGUUUUGAGAAGAAUAUUUCACUUGUUGGAGAUAUAUUUCUUUUUGUUUUCUUUUAAGAGAAAAUCUGUGUGAUGAUACGAAAUUAUUAUCUGGUGCUUUUCUUUUUU
rnacentral:lncRNA from 1 species